UCUCUAAGGAGAAACCUAAGAUCAUCAUCAGAGUAAAUUGACAGUCUGAUCAGCUGUCAAUAGCUUCCCGUCAGCGUAAAUAUUGACGUAUCAAAGCCCUGCAGGCACGAUAGCUCGUUCCCGGUGCCACAUCCGUCAUCGUUAGCUGUAACCCGAAACUGUACGCUUGAUCGUAAUCGUUGUAUCAUUAGCUGCAACCUGAAACCAUACGCUUGAUUAUAAUCGCUAUAACUGGAAAAACUGCAAUGGAACAAAGGCUCAGCCUGCGUCACGCGUCACUAUCUGAGCGACGUGCUCUAGAAGAAUUGAAUUCUUCCCAAGUUCUCGGCAUUCAAGCCUAUAUCCAGCAAAGCAGCUCAGCAGAUACUUAGCUCCUUCUUAUCCAGCCUCAUCUGAACACCUACAAGCAUCUGUAACCAUCAACAUUAACAGCUGUUCCAGCUCCUCUGCUGUCUUCCCAAGACUUUAAGAAACAUUCUAUGGCUCUACUUACAGGCUUCAAGUUAGAAUCAGCUGUCAGAUGAAAGAGAUUUGUGCCCUCUAUAAAAUAAAUAGUGUCACAACCAAAUUAAGUAGUGCCCAUGUCACAAACAAGUAAAACCAUUCAAAACAGUUUUUUUCUGCACUAGGUUAACUAAGGGUUAACAAUAAUGAUAGUAACCGCUUUUUUUUGCUGCGCAUGUCAAAAAGAAAUUUAUUACUGCGACACUAACAUGAAAUAGAACUUAGCCUUCUGUGCUGUACAUAAAUCAUUAUAAUUGGUCAAAGAAAACAGGGAGUAACCCUGUGAGAUAGAACCCUAGCGAAGACCGCUAGAUAAUUGGCGAUUCUAAUUAAAUUUAUGAUGUGGCGAAAAGCAAUUGGCUAUUACUAAAAUAAAACCUGUCUUCACUUCCGUGAAGAACGGGAGACCUCCGCGCACACACCUGAAAAACUUCUGAACGUAUGUGUGAGAGUAACUGACAAAUUGAUCACUUGUCAGUUUCCCAUGUCUGGACCCAAUUCUCAGACAUAAAUCAAUGACCUGCCGGCCCGACCUUUUUCUCCAUUUAUCUGCCCGACCAACGAACUCUUAUGCAGACCGACCUAUGACCUACGAACCUUAAGCUGUAACUAACCAAGUAUCUCUGACCUCCGCUAUUCACCACCUUGACGGCGUGAGUAAAUAAUCUUGCUUUGCAACCGAUAAGUGUCCGCCUUAUUAAUUCCACUCCAAGCAUCACAAGUACCUGCCUGAUGGCCUUCUAAGGCG